CCAAGUGUUCACAGCUACCCUGAAGUGUCGUGGCCUCACGGGUACAGGAUCCCUCUGGAGCCCUUCCCAAGAUCCUUUCAGCUCCAUUCCGUGGAAUUGUGGAAUCACAGAGUCCUGGAAUGGUUUGGUUGGGAAGGGACCCUAAAGAUCAUCUUGUUCCAACCCCCAGGGACACCCAUUCCCAUUUGCCUUUCCCACACUUGGCACUGGUGCCUCACACUGACUCUGGGAUCUGCUGCAGCCUCCAGAGCCUUUCAAUGCUCCUGACACUGUUUGCUCCAGAGGAUGAGCAGAAUUCCCAUCUGGACACCCCUUGGUCCCGGGUCCUCCUCAGCCAGCUCCAGUCCCCCGUGCUCCUCCAGCAUCCUGAUUGCAGAUGCACUUCAGGGAGAGCAGGAAAUCCACCUCCAGCACACAGACCCAGCGGGGGGAUGAACCCAGGCCUUCUCCCGGGCUGCCCUUGUUUUUCUCCCUCCUGGUUUGGCUCAGCCCAGGCUUAAUCACCAACGGCUCCGAAUUCCACCGUGAAGAGGGAAAGGGAAAUGAGCAGGAGGGCUUUGAUGCAGCACCAGGGCCCUGCAGGCUGCCUGAACCCCUUGCUGCUUCAUUAGCUGCUGUUCCAUGUUGGGAGGCAGAGGCUGCAGGAGGGACAUGGAGCUGCCAAGGCCAAGAGCCAGUGCCCUUGUUGGGAGCACACAAAUGCACUUUGCAUUGUUCUCAUUUCCCCUCAUAUGAAUAAUAAAAGCUGUUUGACAGAA